rnacentral:lncRNA from 1 species
UUCGUUCAAUAGAAGAACACGUGUUAAGAAGUUGCCAUUCGUGUCACUAAAUAGCUCCCUCCCGUUCGUCCAUCAAACAAAUGUAGAGAUUGGGACUCAAAUGUUCCAUCCCCAUUUUCUUCCUUGUGAUUGUAAAUUUAGCCGUUUCUCUUUCCUUUUUCUUCUAUUUCUCCAUUUGGAUCUAUUUGUUUUUUCUAUUUCUUAAUUUUUCUUCUCGGAAUUUCUCAUAACUUCCUAGAUUUGAUGCUUGCAUUUGGAGGUAAUUAGUUCUCUUCUUACCUUUUUCAUCUUCCUAUUUUUCUGCUUCUCUGAAGUCUGAUGUACUUGGGUUUCUUCUAUAUUAGUUAUGUUGCCUUUUCGCACUACCGGUAAGUGUUUCAUGGGUUUUUUCUUCUUUUAAUUUAUUAUAUUACUUAUAUUUUAGUUUUACGUUCUCUAAUUUUCUUCCUUUCAUCAUUCUCUUCUUUUACCUUUGCCUCUUCCACCAUGGACCUGUUGUUGCUUUGCUUCCAUUAGCUCUUAUUUGGUGUGCUUAAUAGUUGGAUGUAACAGCGCUUGGGUAGCAUACUAUACAGAUGGAGCUUGAACGGUGGAAGCGCCAGAUGAUGCUCUAUUGUUUAAUGGAAAUCAUUACAUGCAUAUGAAUAAAACUAGGUGCUUCGAGAAUGGUGAAGGGUCAUUUACAGAUGCUCAGAAUGUUUUUGAUUUAUUUACAUGAUGUCUCAUAUCUAUUUUAGUGAUAGUUUGAUUGAUGGUAUUGGUUGGAAUGUUGUAAAAGGGUACACAGACGAUCAUAGUAAAAGGGGUCACAGGUGAUGUUAAAUUAAUUUUGGAGAAAGAAAUAUCAAAGGAUUAUACUGAUCAGUCUAUAAAGUGUUUGAUAAAAUGUCCCUUAAGAAAAUUAUAUUAUCCGUUGCAUUUUUGUUCUUCUGAACAUUCUUAUAAGUCUUAUUGAAAUUCUGUGAUGUUGCUUAUAUUCUACAGUUGAUUUACAUGGAGAUGGAGACUCAAUCUUUUGAACUGUAAAUGCAAGCAUAGUUUAGAUCAUUGACGGCCUCUUUGAAUCUAUUUUUUCGCAGCUCUAUUGGGGAUUCCAUUUUUAGGUGGGUAAUUCCCAAAUUGGGAAUAAAGAUGGCACUUCAAAGGUCUUGGCUCUAGGAUAUGUAAUAUAUCCCUUCUCAAUUGCACGUACCUUGCACCUUUUGCAAUAAAGCUUGAGAGACUCUUUUGUAUCUUAAAGGUAAUUAUCUUCGAAAAUUUUUACAAAAUUUCUGUUCAAAACUAUGUUUUAUCACGUAUUAAAGCAUAACUUUCAGUCUUUUUCAUAGAUCGUUCUAACAUUGCAGGUUACUGCUCAAGUUGAUAUUGAAAUCAAAUCAAGGGAAUGAGGUAAUUUAUGCAAGGACUACUCUUUCAGUCCAUGAUUUUUGGUAGUCAUGACCUAUUUGUAAUGUUGAACUUUGAUAUCGUCAAAGUUUGCCAGGUCAAAGUUGAGCCAAAUUUUAUUUGGAGUUUCAAAUGUAAAAAAGAAAGAGAGGAAAUCUUAAUCUGAAAUGGUAUCUUCCAUGUCUCUUUGGGUGUAGUUUAUGAUGGUAUCUUCAUAUGCUUAUGAAUGUAUAUUUACUUUACAGGGCACUGGUUAUUUAAUAAAAAUGUACACUUUAAAUACACACUUUUUCCAUAGAGCCUCUUAUCAUUUGAAUUACUUCUAAUGUGUAAUCUGAUAUUAACCUGUGGCCUUCCAAUAUUUUGUUCAGACUUUUCACUUUGGCUCAAAAGUAAAUUCUCAAGAUAUUUGUUGACUUUUUUGUCUUUUCUUUAUCGUUUAUAGCACAGUGACGACCACUACAGGCAUGCUUAUGUAACAAAAUUAUAUGGGCCGUCUGAUGUUAAAUAAUUAUAAUAGAGACAACUCUCUCUUUCUCCGGUAUGUAUAAAGAGAUCAGUCACUUGCUAUCUUUCAUCGCAAGCGGUCUGUGAGUGGUUAUAGAGCAUGUAAUAUUUUGUAUUCUUUCUAUCCUCUUGAGGAGUUACUCUAUUGCUUUGUUCCACUGGAUCUUUCUGCACUCCUCUCUUUGGUGACUUUGCAAGUCAUUUCUUUCUUGUGGUACUCUUGGCUUAGAAAUUAUUCUUUCUACCGUAAUUUAUUUAUUGUCAUAAAUACACAAGUUUUUUAUGUGAUAUUUUAACUCUAAUCGUGACCAUACGAUCGACAGUGUAUAAAAAGGGCCGAACAAAGAAGAUCCGCUGAACUUUUGGGUACUCCUGCAAGAAUAAACUAGAUGCAAGGCAAAAGUUGAGUUGAAGUACUAGAUGUGAGUGAUGUCUCUUUCUUCUACCAAAUCACCUGGCGAGCAGAUGUAGAAAGCGAGUGGAAGAACAUUAGCGUAUGAUAUCUCUUGUCAUUUUGAAACAUGAAUGGUUAACUAAGAUUUUGUAAAAUCUUAUCGCCCUGUGAUAAAUAUUAUAUGGAGUCAUGGAGACAAAAGUGCAACAAGCAGUAGCAGUAUCCAUGUAUGAUGACCUUGAAACACUAACUAGGAAGUUUCAAUAGGGUACAUUACUCAAGGCUUUAAAUAGUGUGCUCUUUCUCCAAAUUCUUUCGGGGCACCUGUACUGGUCAAUUGCUAAACGUUACUUCAAAAAGUUCUUGACUCAGCUUUCUUAUGGUAUUCUUAGUUUCCUCAAACCUUUUAUGUUCCCCUCAGCUGUAGUGUCGUUUCCGAGUCAAUAUGUGUUUCAUGCUAAGUUUGAGACCUUAGAGGUGGUUUGGAUUGGUUUUAAGCUGGUCAAAUUAACUUUAAGUUCUUUUUAGCUUUUUUUUGGGUAUUUGGCAAAGCUAUAAAGUGCUUAAAACAAGUUAAAAAUUGCUUAAAACAAGCCAAAAGCAAUAAGUCGGGCAACCCCAAUUUAUUACCUUUUGGCUUAAAAGCUAUUUCUCCUGAAAAGCCACUUUUUUUAGCCAAUCCAAAUAGGCUCUUAUAAUCGAUGGCAUUUGCUUGCUGCUGCUCAGUUUGAGAAUAUGGUUAUUCAGUUUGGUAACUCAAAAGAUUUGCUAUGGCAAUAAUUUUUGCCAUAGGUAUAAUGUUUUGCUAGAGAUUUUAUUUCAGCAAAGGUGGUGAUGUUAAGUUUGUAUUUAUUUGGCCGGCAUAAGAUGUGUCUGGCAAAGUGAGAGAAGUUUCUUCUCAUUACUGUUGGCAUUUUUCUGUGCCUUUUUCUAAUUCAAGGACGAAGACGGAUAACAUCUAACCUCUGACUUGAAUGACUGUAAGUUCGGUUGCACUUUUCUUGCAUGUACAACCCUAUAAAUAUUUUGAAGUUUCAAAAAUUUAAAUCAAGAAAUAGAAAACCGGUAAAGAAACACCUCAAAUACUCAUUCCACUUCUACAAGUGUGCUAUGAUUUGUUUCCUAAUGAUAUGCUACUGUUAAUUACAUGAGUUUCUCUGAAAGUUUAUUAAUGAGGUGUCUAACUUCUCUUCCAUUUUCUUCAUGCAGGGAGUUGAGUGGAACAAUUAUCUAGCUCUAAGGAAUUCGAUCUACGUAGACCAAUUGUUACUACAACUUUGUAAUUUCAAACUCCAGAUUUUUAAAGUGUAUAAUGAGACCCUUUACAAUGAUUAAUGAAUUCUAUUGCUCGCCUACUACCCCCAAAGAGAGGAUUCUGCUUCAUCUCAACUACUUCGCUAUGUAGAAAGAUAAUUCUUUAUCAUCUCAGAUAUUGCUCUAUGUUGGGCCCAUGUCCCCGUGCACGGCACGGGCAUAACCUACUAGUUACUUUGGUUCGGAA